rnacentral:rRNA from 1 species
CCCCACUAUGCUUAGCCCUUAACAUAGACAAUAAAAACACAAUAUUGUCCGCCAGAGAACUACAAGUGAAAAACUAGAAACUCCAAGGACUUGGCGGUGCCCCACAUCAACCUAGAGGAGCCUGUCCUAUAAUCGAUAAUCCACGCUGCACCUUACCAUUUCUAGNCAACUCAGCCUAUAUACCGCCGUCGAAAGCCUACCUUAUGAAAGAAUCAAAGUAAGCAAAAUAGUCAACAACUAAAACGUCAGGUCAAGGUGUAGCACAUGAAAUGGAAGAGAUGGGCUACAUUUUCUACCUUAGAAAACACGAACAGCACAAUGAAACCUGCACUCAAAGGCGGAUUUAGCAGUAAGACAAAAAAGAAACU